rnacentral:rRNA from 1 species
GAUUGAACGCUGGCGGCAGGCCUAACACAUGCAAGUCGAGCGGAUGACGGGAGCUUGCUCCUGGAUUCAGCGGCGGACGGGUGAGUAAUGCCUAGGAAUCUGCCUGGUAGUGGGGGAUAACGUCCGGAAACGGGCGCUAAUACCGCAUACGUCCUGAGGGAGAAAGUGGGGGAUCUUCGGACCUCACGCUAUCAGAUGAGCCUAGGUCGGAUUAGCUAGUUGGUGGGGUAAAGGCCUACCAAGGCGACGAUCCGUAACUGGUCUGAGAGGAUGAUCAGUCACACUGGAACUGAGACACGGUCCAGACUCCUACGGGAGGCAGCAGUGGGGAAUAUUGGACAAUGGGCGAAAGCCUGAUCCAGCCAUGCCGCGUGUGUGAAGAAGGUCCUCGGAUUGUAAAGCACUUUAAGUUGGGAGGAAGGGCAGUAAGUUAAUACCUUGCUGCUUUGACGUUACCAACAGAAUAAGCACCGGCUAACUUCGUG